rnacentral:rRNA from 1 species
GGGGGAUAACACUUAGAAAUAGGUGCUAAGACCGCAUAAGCGCCCAGGGCCGCAUGGCCCAGGGUGAAAAACUCCGGUGGUAUAAGAUGGGCCCGCGUCUGAUUAGCCAGUUGGCAGGGUAACGGCCUACCAAAGCGACGAUCAGUAGCCGGCCUGAGAGGGUGGACGGCCACAUUGGGACUGAGACACGGCCCAAACUCCUACGGGAGGCAGCAGUGGGGGAUAUUGCACAAUGGGGGAAACCCUGAUGCAGCGACGCCGCGUGAGUGAAGAAGUAUUUCGGUAUGUAAAGCUCUAUCAGCAGGGAAGAAAGAAGACGGUACCUGAGUAAGAAGCCCCGGCUAACUACGUGCCAGCAGCCGCGGUAAUACGUAGGGGGCAAGCGUUAUCCGGAUUUACUGGGUGUAAAGGGAGCGUAGACGGCAAGGCAAGCCUGGAGUGAAAGGCGGGGGCCCAACCCCCGGACUGCUCUGGGAACUGUCUGGCUAGAGUGCAGGAGGGGUAAGUGGAAUUCCUAGUGUAGCGGUGAAAUGCGUAGAUAUUAGGAGGAACACCAGUGGCGAAGGCGGCUUACUGGACUGUAACUGACGUUGAGGCUCGAAAGCGUGGGGAGCAAACAGGAUUAGAUACCCUGGUAGUCCACGCCGUAAAC